UACGUAGGGUGCAAGCGUUGUCCGGAAUUAUUGGGCGUAAAGAGCUCGUAGGCGGUUUGUUGCGUCGGCUGUGAAAUCCUGAGGCUCAACCUCGGGUCUGCAGUCGAUACGAGCAAACUAGAGUGUUGCAGGGGAGACUGGAAUUCCUGGUGUAGCGGUGAAAUGCGCAGAUAUCAGGAGGAACACCGGUGGCGAAGGCGGGUCUCUGGGCAACAAUUGACGCUGAGGAGCGAAAGCGUGGGGAGCAAACAGG
rnacentral:rRNA from 1 species